GACGAACGCUGGCGGCGUGCCUAAUACAUGCAAGUCGAACGCACUCUCGUUUAGAUUGAAGGAGCUUGCUCCUGAUUGAUAAACAUUUGAGUGAGUGGCGGACGGGUGAGUAACACGUGGGUAACCUGCCCUAAAGUGGGGGAUAACAUUUGGAAACAGAUGCUAAAUACCGCAUAAAACUUAACACCGCAUGGUGUAGGGUUGAAAGAUGGUUUCGGCUAUCACUUUAGGAUGGACCCGCGGUGCAUUAGUUAGUUGGUGAGGUAAAGGCUCACCAAGACCGUGAUGCAUAGCCGACCUGAGAGGGUAAUCGGCCACACUGGGACUGAGACACGGCCCA
rnacentral:rRNA from 1 species